UUUGCGGAGAGUUUGAUCCUGGCUCAGAGUGAACGCUGGCGGCGUGGAUUAGGCAUGCAAGUCGAGCGAUUUUAAAGUUGUUGUUUAAUUUUAAGAUAGCGGCAAACGGGUGAGGAACACGUGAGUAAUUUACCUUCUACUCGGGGAUAGCUUUGCGAAAGCGGAGGUAAUACCCGAUGUGCUCUAGAGAAUGCGAAUUCUUUAGGAUAAAGACGGGGACCGAAAGGCCUGUCGAUAGAAGAUGAGCUCGCGUCCUAUCAGCUUGUUGGUGGGGUAAUGGCCUACCAAGGCUUUUGACGGGUAGCUGGUCUGAGAGGAUGGUCAGCCACAUUGGGACUGAGACACUGCCCAGACUCCUACGGGAGGCUGCAGUCGAGGAUCUUUAGCAAUGGGCGAAAGCCUGACUAUGCGACGCCGCGUGAGGGAUGAAGGUUUUCGGAUCGUAAACCUCUUUCGAUGGGAAAGAAUAUCCUAGAGACUAAUAUUUUCUAGGACUGACGGUACCCAGAGAAGAAGCCACGGCCAACUCCGUGCCAGCAGCCGCGGUAAUACGGAGGUGGCAAGCGUUACUCGGAUUCAUUGGGUGUAAAGGGCAGGUAGGCGUCCUGAUAUGUUUUUGGUGAAAUCCUCCGACUCAAUCGGAGAACUGCCAAAAAAACUGUCAGGAUUGAAUGCAGGAGGGGAAAGUGGAAUUCUCAGUGUAAGAGUGAAAUCUGUAGAUAUUGAGAGGAACACCAGUGGCGUAGGCGACUUUCUAGACUGCUAUUGACGCUGAUCUGCGAAAGCUAGGGGAGCAAACAGGAUUAGAUACCCUGGUAGUCCUAGCUGUAAACUAUGUACACUAGGUGUUGGGGGGUUGCCUUCAGCGCCGCAAGAUAACUCGUUAAGUGUACCACCUGGGAACUACGGCCGCAAGGCUAAAACUCAAAGGAAUUGACGGGGGCCCGCACAAGCGGUGGAACAUGUGGUUCAAUUCGAUGCUACGCGAAGAACCUCACCAGGGCUUGACAUGUAGGAAGUAGUGAACCGAAAGGGGAACGACCUGUCAAGUCAGGAGCCUAUGCAGGUGCUGCAUGGCUGUCGUCAGCUCGUGUCGUGAGAUGUUGGGUUAAGUCCCGCAACGAGCGCAACCAUCAUCUUUAGUUGCGACCAUGUCCGUUUUUUGGACGAUGAGCACUCUAAAGAGACUGCCCGGGAUAACCGGGAGGAAGGUGGAGAUGACGUCAAGUCCGUAUGGCCUUUAUGCCCUGGGCUACACACGUGUUACAAUCCUUACUACAAAGCGUUGCCAAACCGCGAGGUGGAGCUAAUCGCAAAAAAGUAAGGUCAGUUCGGAUUGGAGUCUGCAAUUCGACUCCAUGAAGCCGGAAUCGCUAGUAAUGGCGGAUCAGCUACGCCGCCGUGAAUACGUUCCCGGGCCUUGUACACACCGCCCGUCAAGCGAUGGGAGCUGGCUAUACUCGAAGUCUCCAAGCAAUUGGGGCCUAAGGUAAAGUUGGUGACUGGCGCUAAGUCGUAACAAGGUAGCCGUAUCGGAAGGUGCGGCUGGAUCACCUCCUUU
rnacentral:rRNA from 1 species